GGAAGCCUUGAGCUUUUAGUGGCGCAGCUAACGCAUUAAGUUGACCGCCUGGGGAGUACGGCCGCAAGGUUAAAACUCAAAUGAAUUGACGGGGGCCCGCACAAGCGGUGGARCAUGUGGUUUAAUUCGAAGCAACSCGAAGAACCUUACCAGGCCUUGACAUCCAAUGAACUUUCUAGAAAUAGAUUGGUGCCUUCGGGAACAUUGAGACAGGUGCUGCAUGGCUGUCSUCAGCUCGUGUCGUGAGAUGUUGGGUUAAGUCCCGUAACGAGCGCAACCCUUGUCCUUAGUUACCAGCACGUWAUGGUGGGCACUCUAAGGAGACUGCCGGUGACAAACCGGAGGAAGGUGGGGAUGACGUCAAGUCAUCAUGGCCCUUACGGCCUGGGCUACACACGUGCUACAAUGGUCGGUACAGAGGGUUGCCAAGCCGCGAGGCGGAGCUAAUCCCAUAAAACCGAUCGUAGUCCGGAUCGCAUUCUGCAAUUCGACUGCGUGAAGUCGGAAUCGCUAGUAAUCGCGAAUCAGAAUGUCGCGGUGAAUACGUUCCCGGGCCUUGUACACACCGCCCGUCACACCAUGGGAGUGGGUUGCACCAGAAGUAGCUAGUCUAACCUUCGGGAGGACGGUUACCACGGUGUGAUUCAUGACUGGGGUGA
rnacentral:rRNA from 1 species